AAGCAAGCCAGUUUAGGACUAAAAAUGUUCUCUUGGAGGUAACUAUAAAACAAGUAUUUACAAGGAGAGGGUCUCCGUUCUUCUACUCAUCCCUGCUGCUCUUCUCUGUACUUCUCCCACUUGAGUUCAUCUCUCCAGGUCACAGGUGUUCAGAACUGUUCAGCUGUCUCUCAUGACUGCAUGCGUUAGCAUUAAGAGAUGUUGCAGUACAAUACUCAGACAUUAGCCCUAUUUAAGGAGUCUGCAAGAGCCUGAAUUUGUUGUUCUUUCAUUUAAGAAAAAAGUAAUAAAGACUUUGUGAAUCUGAA